GACGAACGCUGGCGGCGUGCCUAAUACAUGCAAGUAGAACGCUGAAGGAGGAGCUUGCUUCUCUGGAUGAGUUGCGAACGGGUGAGUAACGCGUAGGUAACCUGCCUGGUAGCGGGGGAUAACUAUUGGAAACGAUAGCUAAUACCGCAUAAGAGUAGAUGUUGCAUGACAUUUGCUUAAAAGGUGCAAUUGCAUCACUACCAGAUGGACCUGCGUUGUAUUAGCUAGUUGGUGAGGUAACGGCUCACCAAGGCAACGAUACAUAGCCGACCUGAGAGGGUGCUCGGCCACACUGGGACUGGGACACGGCCCAGACUCCUACGGGAGGCAGCAGUAGGGAAUCUUCGGCAAUGGACGGAAGUCUGACCGAGCAACGCCGCGUGAGUGAAGAAGGUUUUCGGAUCGUAAAGCUCUGUUGUAAGAGAAGAACGAGUGUGAGAGUGGAAAGUUCACACUGUGACGGUAUCUUACCAGAAAGGGACGGCUAACUACGUG
rnacentral:rRNA from 1 species